rnacentral:rRNA from 1 species
GGAAUUUUGGACAAUGGGCGCAAGCCUGAUCCAGCAAUGCCGCGUGCGGGAAGAAGGCCUUCGGGUUGUAAACCGCUUUUGUCAGGGAAGAAAUCCUUUGGGCUAAUACCUCGGGGGGAUGACGGUACCUGACGCAUAAGCACCGGCUAACUACGUGCCAUCAGCCGCGGUAAUACGUAGGGUGCGAGCGUUAAUCGGAAUUACUGGGCGUAAAGCGUGCGCAGGCGGUUGUGCAAGACAGAUGUGAAAUCCCCAGGCUCAACCUGGGAACUGCAUUUGUGACUGCACGGCUAGAGUGCGGCAGAGGGGGAUGGAAUUCCGCGUGUAGCAGUGAAAUGCGUAGAUAUGCGGAGGAACACCGAUGGCGAAGGCAAUCCCCUGGGCCUGCACUGACGCUCAUGCACGAAAGCGUGGGGAGCAAA